rnacentral:rRNA from 1 species
ACGCAGGCGGUUUGUUAAGUCAGAUGUGAAAUCCCCGGGCUCAACCUGGGAACUGCAUCUGAUACUGGCAAGCUUGAGUCUCGUAGAGGGGGGUAGAAUUCCAGGUGUAGCGGUGAAAUGCGUAGAGAUCUGGAGGAAUACCGGUGGCGAAGGCGGCCCCCUGGACGAAGACUGACGCUCAGGUGCGAAAGCGUGGGGAGCAAACAGGAUUAGAUACCCUGGUAGUCCACGCCGUAAACGAUGUCGACUUGGAGGUUGUGCCCUUGAGGCGUGGCUUCCGGAGCUAACGCGUUAAGUCGACCGCCUGGGGAGUACGGCCGCAAGGUUAAAACUCAAAUGAAUUGACGGGGGCCCGCACAAGCGGUGGAGCAUGUGGUUUAAUUCGAUGCAACGCGAAGAACCUUACCUGGUCUUGACAUCCACGGAAGUUUUCAGAGAUGAGAAUGUGCCUUCGGGAACCGUGAGACAGGUGCUGCAUGGCUGUCGUCAGCUCGUGUUGUGAAAUGUUGGGUUAAGUCCCGCAACGAGCGCAACCCUUAUCCUUUGUUGCCAGCGGUCCGG